rnacentral:rRNA from 1 species
AUUGAACGCUGGCGGCAUGCCUUACACAUGCAAGUCGAACGGCAGCACGGACUUCGGUCUGGUGGCGAGUGGCGAACGGGUGAGUAAUGUAUCGGAACGUACCUUUCAGUGGGGGAUAACGUAGCGAAAGUUACGCUAAUACCGCAUAUUCUGUGAGCAGGAAAGCAGGGGAUCGCAAGACCUUGCGCUGAUUGAGCGGCCGAUAUCAGAUUAGCUAGUUGGUGAGGUAAAGGCUCACCAAGGCGACGAUCUGUAGCGGGUCUGAGAGGAUGAUCCGCCACACUGGAACUGAGACACGGUCCAGACUCCUACGGGAGGCAGCAGUGGGGGAAUUUUGGGACAAAUGGGGGCAACCCUGAUCCAGCCAUGCCGCGUGAGUGAAGAAGGCCUCGGUUGU